GGAAGGAUCAUUAUCAGAAAGUAAACGCGGGUUUAACCGCGAAUUUCUAAACCUUUGACGAUCGACUCAUGUUGCCUCGGCGGCUUCGCCCACCAGAGGAUACAUCAAAACUCCUGUUUUAACGGUGUUGUCUGAGCUACAAAGCAAAGAAUCAAAACUUUCAACAACGGAUCUCUUGGUUCUGGCAUCGAUGAAGAACGCAGCGAAAUGCGAUAAGUAGUGUGAAUUGCAGAAUUCAGUGAAUCAUCGAAUCUUUGAACGCACAUUGCGCCCCUCGGUAUCCCGAGGGGCAUGCCUGUUCGAGCGUCAUUUCACCACUCAAGCCUGGCUUGGUGUUGGGCGACGUCCUCCUCGGGGACGCGUCUCGAAACGCUCGGCGGCGUGGCACCGGCUUUAAGCGCAGCAGAACCUUUCGCUUUGAAAGUCGGGGCCCCGCCUGCCGGAAGGCCUACUCGUAAGGUUGACCUCGGAUCAGGCAGGGAUACCCGCUGAACUUAAGCAUAUCAAUAAGCGGAGGAAAAGAAACCAACAGGGAUUGCCUCAGUAACGGCGAGUGAAGCGGCAACAGCUCAAAUUUGAAAUCUGGCUCUUUUAGGGCCCGAGUUGUAAUUUGUAGAGGAUGCUUCGGCGUCGGCUCCGGUCUAAGUUCCUUGGAACAGGACGUCAUAGAGGGUGAGAAUCCCGUAUGUGAUCGGUUG
rnacentral:rRNA from 1 species